rnacentral:lncRNA from 1 species
AAGAAAAAGAAAAAGAAGAAAAAGAGAAAGAAAAUCUAAAAAUUGGUUCAAAAUCAUAAAAUUUCGUAACAUAUAAACCUCGGUUCAAAACUAACCAAAACAUAAAGUGGUCUAUGGCUUCAGUUAUUUACAGAAUCGUUGUCAUAGGUCCUUCAAAUCUCUUUGCAUUCUCCUGAAAACUGACAUGUUAAGCUGACACAU